GUUGAAAAUGGGAGAGGGAACAAAGGCGAGAGCGUUUGCUGCUGCUGCACUGCUGCUGGCCUGGGCAGAAGGCUGGGGUGGGGAGCUCUUUUCUUACAUCAGUUUCAGAUCUUCCCUCUUUCUGAGUCCUGUAGACUAUAGCUAAUCUUUUCCUAGGCUUGUUUGUUGGCUGGGUCUCAAAUGACCAUAGUCUAGCUCUUGCAGUUACCUACUGACAUGGUUUAGAUCUGUGUCCCUACUGACAUGGUUUAGCUCGUGUCCCCACCAGAUCUCAUCUUGAAUUGUACUCCCAUAAUUCCCACGUGUUGUGGGAGGGACUUGGUGGGAGAUAAUUUAAAUCAUGAGGGUGGUUUCCCCCAUACUGUUCGCAUGGUAGUGAAUAAGUCUCAUGAGAUCUGAUGGUUUUAUCAGGGGGUUCUGCUUUUGCAUCUUCCUCAUUUUUCUCUUGCCACCACCAUGUUAAGAAGAGCCUUUUGCCUCCCACCAUGAUUCUGAGGCCUCCCCAGCCAUGCAGAACUGUAAGUCCAAUUAAACCUCUUUUUCUUCCCAGUCUCGGGUAUGUCUUUAUCAGCAGCAUGAAAAUGGACUAAUACAGUAACUUGGUACCAGCAGAAGGGGUGCCUCUGAAAAGAUACCCAAAAAUGUGGAAGCAACUUUGGAACUGGGUAACAGGCAGAGGUUGGAACAGUUUGGAGGGCUCAAAAAAAGACAAGAAAAUGUGGGAAAGUUUGGUACUUUCUAGAGACUUGUUGAAUGCCUUUGCCCAAAAUGCUGAUAGCAAUAUGGACAAUAAAGUCCAGGCUGAGGUAGUCUCAGAUGGAGAUGAGGAACUUGUUGGGAAGUGGAGCAAAGAUGACUCUUGUUAUGUUUUAGCAAAGUGACUGGUGGCAUUUUGCCCCUGCUGUAGAGAUUUGUGGAAUUUUGAACUUGAGAGAGGUGAUUUAGGGUAUCUGUGGAAGAAAUGUCUAAGCAGCAAAGCAUUCAAGAGGUGACUUGGGUGCUAUUUAAGGCAUUCAGUUUUAAUAAGGAAGCAGAACAUAAAAGUUUGGAAAGUUUGCAGCCUGAAAAUGCAGUAUAAAAGAAAAAUCUAUUUUCUGAGGAGAAAUUCAUGAAAGCUGCAGAAAUUUGCAUAAGUAAUGAGGAGCCGAAUGUUAAUCCCCAAGACAAUGGGGAAAUGUCUCCAGGGCAUAUCAAAGGUCUUCAUGGCAGCCCCUCCCAUCACAGGCCCAGAGGCCUAGGAGGAAAAAAAUGGUUUUGAGGGCCAGGCCCAGGGUACCUGUGCUGUGUGCAGUCUAGGGACUUGGUGCCCUGCAUCCCAGCCACUUCAGCUAUGGCUGAAAGGGGCCAAUGUAGAGCGUGGGCUGUGGCUUCAAAGGGUGCAAGUCCCAGGGCUUGGCAGCUUCCACAUGGUGUUGAGCCUGCAAGUGCACAGAAGUGAAGAACUGAGGUUUGGGAACCUCAGCCUAGAUUUCAGAGGAUGUAUGGAAACGCCUGGCUGUGCAGGCAGAAGUUUGCUGCAGGGGCGGGGCUCUCAUGGAGAACCUCUGCUAGAGCAGUGCAGAAGGGAAAUGUGGGGUUGGAGCCCCCACAGAGAGUCCCUACUGGGGCACUGCCUAGUGGAGCUGUGAGAAGAGGGCCACUGUCCUCCAGACCCCAAAAUGGUAGACCCACUGACAGCUUGCACUGUGCACCUGGAAAAGCCGCAGACCGCAGACUCAACGCUCGCCCAUGAAAGCAGCCAGGAGGGAGGCUGUAUCCUGCAAAGCCACAGGGGCAGAGCUGUCCAAGACCAUGGGAACCCGCCUCUUGUUUCAGCAUGACCUGGAUGUGAGACAUGGAGUCAAAGAAGAUCAUUUUGGAGCUUUAAGAUUUGACUGCCCCACUGGAUUUCAGGCUUGCAUGGGGCCUAUAAUCCCUUUGUUUUGACAAAUUUCUCCCAUUUGAAAUGGCUGUAUUUACUCAAUACCUGUACCCCCAUUGUGUCUAGGAAGUAACUAGCUUGCUUUUGAUUUUACAGGCUCAUAGGUGGAAGAGACUUGCCUUGUCUCAGAUGAGACUUUGGACUGUGGACUUUUGGGUUAAUGCUGAAAUGAGUUAAGACUUUGGGGGACUGUUGGGAAGGCAUGAUUGGUUUUGAAAUGUGAGGACAUGAGAUUUGGAGGGGCCAGGGGUGGGAUGAUAUGGUUUGGCUCUGUGUCCCCACCUAGAUCUCAUUUUGAAUUGUACUCCCAUAAUUCCCACAUGUUGUGGGAGGGACCUGGUGGGAGAUAAUUUGAAUCAUGGGGGCAGUUUUCCCUAUACUGUUCCCAUGGUAGUGAGUAAGUCUUACAAGACCUGAUGGUUUUGUCAGGGGUUUCUGCUUUUGCAUCUUCAUCAUUUUUCUGUUGCCACUGCCAUGUAAGAAGUGCCUUUAACCUUCCACCAUGAUUCUGAGGCCUCCCCAGCCAUGUGGAACUGCAAGUCCAACUAUACCUCUUUUUCUUCCCAGUCUCAGGUAUGUCUUUAUCAGCAGCAUGAAAACGGACUAAUACACCUACAUUAAAGGGCAGAGAAGAGGCCGUGCUGGUUCAUCCAUAUAACUCAUGGGAUCAUUAGGAGGUUCUUAAGGCUGGGUACAGGGGCUCAUGCCUGUAAUCCCAGCACUUUGCUGGGUGAAGGCAGGCAGACUCACCUGAGGUCAGGAGUUUGAGCCUGGCCAUGGUGAAGCCUGCCUCUACUAAAAAUACAAAAAUUAGCCAGGCGUGGUGGGGCACACCUGUAAUCCCAGCCAUUCAGGAGGCUGAGGCAUGAGAAUCGCUUGAACCUGGGAGGUGGAGGUUGCAGUGAGCCAAGAUCAUGCCACUGCACUUCAGCCUGGGCAAUAGAGCGAGACUCUGUCUCAAAAAAAAAAAAAAAUUGUUCUUAUGAAGCCUGAGGCUAGGAGAGAAUUGGCCAGCAGGAGGCUGAGUUCCACCUUUCUCAUUUCGUCAUAAGCACGUUUAAAGCCAAGAAACAGCCUUGUGAACCGCCCAAACAGAACAGUGAGCUGUGAGGUUGGGUGUCGUUUGCAGGCUCCCCAGGACUGGCUGAGGAUGCCUUGAUGUGGCACUGAUUAGAGAUGAUCCCAGAGACCACACAGAUGUGAACAGGACUCCCCUCUUCCGUGGGGAACAGAAGUCCAUGAGAGGCUGGGUCUGAAGGGCAGGGCGAGGGUAAAGGAGACAGGUUUGGCAGCAGCCUGGAGGGCUAUAGGUGCUUUGCCCUGUGGCUUUAACAUCAGAUCCCCAAGUAUCCCUGACCUGGGGGAGGAGCUGCCAACACAAAGUCCAGAAAGGGCAGGGCAUAUAGGUGGAAGCAGAAAUGCCAAUCAGGAUGAGUGACAGGGAUGAACCAAAGUUGGGUUCAAUAUUCUGGACCUGGGUGACUGGAGGAAUCAAAGCAUUCUAGAGUUAGAAGUGGCCUUAGAAUAUUUAAUCUUGUGCCUAGGACUAGAUAUUGUGCUUCAGUGUCCCUGAGACCUCCUCCACCUCAAACUUGUGGCCUCCUGAAGGAAAGAAAAAGAGACAAACACUAUCUAGGAAGCCCUGGGGUCCACCAGACUCCUCGGCAGCCACUCUCCCGACUGUGGCUCCCAGGAGAACCCAGUCUCAUGGCCUAGCUGAGUAGCAGAGCACUGUGGAAAGGCUGUAUGGUUGCUGCCCUGCCUCUUGCUGCUCUGUGACCCUGGGCUCGUGACUUCACCUUGCUGGGCCUUCUUUCACCAGUAAGCUGAAAAUAAGCUUUGCUGCUAGGAUAUUAAUUGGUGACAUGAGAUAAGGUUUGUAAAACACAGGGCACUUGCCUGACAUCUACUUCCUCCUUGCCAUCUGGAAGCCUCCAGUAUAACACCUGCCUGAAGUCAUAGCUGAAGUACAACAUGUUUCUGACAAUUAAAUGUAACAGACAUAAUUUCUAGGGCACCCACUGCAUUGGACAAUGUGAGACAGAUGGACUAAGUACAAGACAUGGACCUCUACCUCUGAAAAAAGUAGCAUCUUGGUUAAGCAAAAGACACACAAGCACAAGCUUUUUAAAUUAUGAAACUAAUACAGCUACAUGCAGAAGAAUUAUGAAUCAAAAGGACUAUUGGGAUUUAGAAGGAGAGCUUAGCAGAGUUGGAGGGCUUCCUGGAGAAAAUGGGCUCUGUGAUAGACUCUGAAGUGCUGGUAAGGCAUGGAAGGUGGGCAGCUUUUGCUGUGAGUUGUCCAGGAACAAUGGCAAGAGCAAGGUGUGGGCAAGAGCAAGGUGUGGGCAAGAGCAAGGUGUGGGCAGGAGUGGAUUCAGAGCCCCACUGGAAUAGAGUUUUGAAGUCAUGGAUGAAGUGGGCGGAGAGAGGUCUGAAGAGGUUAGGAGGGCCAGGCAGUGGACUGGAGGUGCCACACCACCAGCAAAAGACCAAGGAUUCUGUUCUAAGGGCCAACCAAGUCUGGAGGCACAGAUUUCAGAGUGAGGGAGUCACAUGAUGAAAAAGGAAUGGUGGAAUAGAGGGGGAUGUUGGAUGGGAGGAGAAUCUAGAACAAUCAGGGUGAGUGACAGGGAUGAAAUGAAGUUAGGUCCAAUAUUCUGGGCCUGGGUGACUGGAGGAAUCAAAGCAUUCUAGAGCGUGAAGUGACCUUAGAAGAUGUAAUCUUGUAUAGCCAUUCAGAAUAGGUUAAUGCCUUUCCUGGGUCCACGGCAAGUUCUUCCUCUCUUAGUUCUCUCAAGAGCUGGUUGUUGAAAACAGCCUAGCGCCACCCCUUCCCCUGCCAUUCUCUCCCUUCCUCUCUCACCAUGUGAUUUCUGCACAUGCAGGCUCCCCUUUGUCUUCUGCCAUGAGGGGAAGUAGCCUGAGGCCCUCAUCAGUUGCAGAUGCUGGGUUUCAUGCUUCCUGUACAGCCUGCAGAAUCAUGAGCCAAAUAAACCUCUUUUCUUCAUAAAUUACCCAGGCUUAUGUAUCCCUUUAUAGCAACACAAAUGGACUAAGACAGUACCCUCCCUAUGGGGCAGUGUCCAGAGAGAAAAGGCCAGAAGACCAAAGACUGAACCUUGAGUCCUGGGAACAGGAUCCAGGAGAAGGGGCAGUCAGAGGUGGGAUGCAGCCCAGAUGUGGUCAUGGUGAUCAAGGACGCAGUAGUGAAGGUGGUCAGUGCUGUCCACAGGCAUGGUACUUGGCUGUGAUCUCCCCAGCCCCACUGAAGCCUAUUACAGAUGGCUGCAAAUUCUUUGACACCUCUCCCACUGAGAUGGGGUGGGGGAAUCUUUGCUUCCUCCAUGUAAAUCGGAGUAGGUUCUGUGACUAAUGCCCCCCAUAGAAUAGAAUGGAAGUUUAGCUGGGCAUGGUAGUGCAUGGCUGUAGUCCCAGCUACUCGGGAGGCUGAAGUGGGAGGAUCGCUUUAAGCCCAGGAGUUCUCCAGCUGGGGCAAGAGAGUGAGAACCUGUCUCAAAAAAAAAAAAAAAAAAAAAAAAAGGAAUAGAAUGGAAGUAAUGUCAUGCCAGUGUCCAGUUCCAGCCUCUGAGAGACUGGCUGUUCUGACCUUUAGAAUCUGGGAGCACUCAGUUGUGGAACCCAGCCACCAUGUUGUGAAGAAGCCCUGUGCAGUGGUCCAAGUGACCAGGAGUCAAAGCUCCCAGCCAAUAGCCAGCACUAACUUGUCAGCAGUGUCAUGGAGCCCACUUGAAAGAGGAUUCUAAUUAUGCUGCCCAAGCUGUGGCCACAUGGAGGAGAGAUAUACAGUCCCUGCUGAACCCUGCUCUAAUUACAGGGAGACUUGAAAACCAGUGGUGGCGAGACUCCAAGACUAUUAUUUUUAUUUCCGGACAAAAACAUCUGCUUCACACAGUGCACGGCAUCAAAUGAAGAGGAAAGAACUUGUAUCCCAAAGCCUGGCUU
rnacentral:lncRNA from 10 species